rnacentral:rRNA from 1 species
CCUAUAAGAUGGGAUAACUUCGGGAAACCGGAGCUAAUACCGGAUAAUAUAUUGAACCGCAUGGUUCAAUAGUGAAAGACGGUUUUGCUGUCACUUAUAGAUGGAUCCGCGCUGCAUUAGCUAGUUGGUAAGGUAACGGCUUACCAAGGCAACGAUGCGUAGCCGACCUGAGAGGGUGAUCGGCCACACUGGAACUGAGACACGGUCCAGACUCCUACGGGAGGCAGCAGCG